GUGAGGAAUAUUGCGCAAUGGGCGAAAGCCUGACGCAGCGACGCCGCGUGGGGGAAGAAGGUCUUCGGAUUGUAAACCCCUUUCAGGAGGAAAGAUGGGAUGGGUAACCAUUCGGACGGUACCUCCAGAAGAAGCCACGGCUAACUUCGUGCCAGCAGCCGCGGUAAUACGAAGGUGGCGAGCGUUGUUCGGAUUUACUGGGCGUAAAGAGCACGUAGGCGGUUUGGUAAGCCCCUUGGGAAAGCUCCAGGCUUAACCUGGAAAGGUCGAGGGGGACUGCCAAGCUAGAGGACGGGAGAGGAGCGCGGAAUUCCCGGUGUAGCGGUGAAAUGCGUAGAUAUCGGGAAGAAGGCCGGUGGCGAAGGCGGCGCUCUGGAACGUAUCUGACGCUGAGGUGCGAAAGCGUGGGGAGCAAACAGG
rnacentral:rRNA from 1 species